rnacentral:rRNA from 1 species
AACGAACGCUGGCGGCAGGCUUAACACAUGCAAGUCGAACGCGUGUAGCAAUACACGAGUGGCGCACGGGUGAGUAACACGUGGAUAUCUGCCUUUUGGUUCGGGAUAACCCUGGGAAACUAGGGCUAAUACCGGAUGGUUCCUACGGGAUAAAGAUUUAUCGCCAAAAGAUGAGUCCGCGUCCGAUUAGCUAGUUGGUGAGGUAAUGGCUCACCAAGGCGACGAUCGGUAGCUGGUCUGAGAGGACGAUCAGCCACACUGGGACUGAGACACGGCCCAGACUCCUACGGGAGGCAGCAGUGGGGAAUAUUGGACAAUGGGGGCAACCCUGAUCCAGCCAUGCCGCGUGAGUGAUGAAGGCCUUCGGGUUGUAAAGCUCUUUUGGCGGGGACGAUGAUGACGGUACCCGCAGAAUAAGCCCCGGCUAACUUCGUGCCAGCAGCCGCAGUAAAAC